rfam:Daphnia pulex DAPPTscaffold_6859_Cont17113, whole genome shotgun sequence.
GAUAGUGUGGCCGAGUGGUCUAUGGCGCUUGUUUUAGGCACCAUUCUCUUCGAAGGCAUAGGUUCGGAUCCCUUCGCUGUCA